CGAUCGACAGAAGACAACCCCAAUCGAUCGACAGCAGACAAUCACCAUCGCUCGCCAGACGCCAUCACGCAUCGAUCGACAACCGUUUGGCCGCAUCGAUUGACACCAAUCCGCCACGUCCACACACGAUGAAGUCUCAACCAAAUUUCCACACCAGAGAAGAGAUAGAUCAGUUGGUGUGGGAACCGAAAUUCGCACUGUCGAUUUCCGUUUAAAUUAGGAAAGUAUGAGAACCCUAACUUCCCAUAGGUCCCGGAUAUCUGCUAAUACCACACGCCAAGCAAUCAGAACACGAAACGAGAACAGUAAUAGAAUAAGAAAUCGAAAAAGAGAGCAAGAUAGUUCUUCUUCCGAAUCUGCGUUUGAGCGUUUACAACAAGGUAAGUGUCUGGGCUACGAGAGCUAUCGGUGAGAUUCCUAGUUCUAAAACCCUAAGACGGCAAAAACCUAAUUGAGUCGCAACUCGAAUAACAAAAAUGGAAAAUUGCCUAAAAUCGCUCUAAGUGCUAAGUUUUCUGUGAAAAAGUCCUCCCACAUGCCUCUCGCCUAGGACUCCUUAUAUACUGGCUCCAAUGUCGGUUUACGCUUUUCCCCUUCUGCCCU
rnacentral:lncRNA from 1 species